GAUGAACGCUGGCGGCGUGCCUAAUACAUGCAAGUCGAGCGAACAGACGAGGAGCUUGCUCCUCUGACGUUAGCGGCGGACGGGUGAGUAACACGUGGAUAACCUACCUAUAAGACUGGGAUAACUUCGGGAAACCGGAGCUAAUACCGGAUAAUAUAUUGAACCGCAUGGUUCAAUAGUGAAAGACGGUUUUGCUGUCACUUAUAGAUGGUUCCGCGCCGCAUUAGCUAGUUGGUAAGGUAACGGCUUACCAAGGCAACGAUGCGUAGCCGACCUGAGAGGGUGAUCGGCCACACUGGAACUGAGACACGGUCCAGACUCCUACGGGAGGCAGCAGUAGGGAAUCUUCCGCAAUGAGCGAAAGCUUGACGGAGCAACGCCGCGUGAGUGAUGAAGGUCUUCGGAUCGUAAAACGCUGUUAUUAGGGAAGAACAAAUGUGUAAGUAACGAUGCACGUCUUGACGGUACCUAAUCAGAAAGCCACGGCUAACUACGU
rnacentral:rRNA from 1 species